GCCAUCUUAGAAAGGAGGCCACGGAAGAAGAUUAACGCUACAUACGCCACCAUUUUGUGGACAUUUCUACUUGUGCAGUACGAACGAAGGGUUGUGUGUUACGAGACUACGAAAUCCACCGAACCAACAUAUACAUUCAAACGCAAUGUCACGUUAUCGUGAAUGGGAUCCUUCAUGUAAAGUUUAUGUUGGUAAUUUAGGAAACAGUGCUAGUAAACAUGAAAUUGAAAGUGCAUUCAGUAAAUAUGGUCCACUCAGAAAUGUGUGGGUUGCAAGAAAACCACCUGGUUUUGCAUUUGUGGAAUUUGAAGACCCACGAGAUGCAGAAGAUGCAGUUAGAGGGUUAGAUGGAACACGCUGUUGUGGGACCAGAGUGAGAGUAGAAAUGUCUUCAGGAAGAAGUAGACGUGGAGGUGGAAGGAGAUCAGGUCCAAGAUAUUCCAGGUCCAGAUCUUGCAGUCCUCGAAGGAGAUCACUGGGUCGUUAUCCGAGGUCCUGGUCAAGAAGCCCACGGAGAUCGCCGAUAAGCCGAUAUUCUAGAUUCUACCAGCGUCAGCUCCUAGCUCUGCUCGUCUCCCCGCCACUACUACUACUACUGCUACUACUACUACUACAGCCACCGUGAAAAAAAGUCUAGCAAUCAAAACUGAACAAAAAAAAAGCCUGCCUGCCCACUAACUUCCCAACCAGUCACCAUCAGUCACCACCAGUCACCGGUAGGAGCCAAGUCGUCCGUCAGUUGACAGUCCGAUGCUGUCCGUCAGUCCGUCUGUUCCCCUUCAAAAAGACUUCUUCGGGCUACCUCAACCUCUAGCGGCUAGGAGCAUCGUGAAUCCAUCGAACAGCCGACGCGAUAUGAACGAAUACUUCUGUCAAAAUCUCGGCGCGUCAGUCCGUCCGUCCGUCCCAACUUCUACUACUACUACUACUACUGCUACUACUACUACUCGUCAACCAUCACGUUAAACUUAGCCGACAACGCGACCGCCACUUCUCUUCGACUGAGCAAAGCAAAAUGAUCACCACCUACACACCAUCCCACCACCACCCAACCAAGUACCACCACCACCAACCACCACUACAUGUUCACAGUUGUCUGGUCAAGAUCCCGUAGCCCUCGCAGGAGAUCAUUGAGCCGUAGCCGUAGCCGAGACCGCCGUUCGCGUUCGGAUUCCCGUGACAGACGUUAGGUGCUAAAAGUGUUUGAGAGAACGGAUCGACUAAAUGUGCCGGAUGGAAGAUAAAGAAAACCGAUUUUAUAUGUACAUAAAAAAGAUAAUCGUUACCACGCGUACAUAUUCUGUCGAAGCAAUGAUAAUACGAUUAAAAGACAUUCAUAAGAGAUAUGGAAUAAUACACGUACAUAAUGUUUAGCAUUUAAGUUGUUAACACUUUGUACACGCAUAAAACCUUGCUUAUGUGCGUAAAACUUAGACACAUAUACUCAGGCGUGUGUAGUUGGUUUCACAUGCACGAUACAUUUUCACCGAUGCAUACACAUUAUGUAUAGAAAGGUACUUUACACGCAACAAAAUUAUUUGUGAUGUAAGCUAUCGAGUACGAUAAAUCUCUUACGGAACGUACUCAUUGCUUCAAAGUGUACGGGUGAGACAAAAAGAAUUCGGUUGCAAUUAAGAACAAUUAUAACGAUAAGCAUAACAGUGAGACAUUUUUAUGUGAAGAAGUUCAUGAAGAAAUAGAAGGAACGGCCGUUUUACGUUGUAUUAAUUAUUUUGUACUCUUACGAAUUUAAGACUUUAAAAUAAAAAUGUAUGGUAUAAUUAUUUUGGCUUUCCUAUUGCAAAUAGCAGUUUGAUGUUCAUUAAAAGAAAAUAAUAAAGUAUCGAAGUAAUAG